rnacentral:rRNA from 1 species
AUUGAACGCUGGCGGCAGGCCUAACACAUGCAAGUCGAGCGAGCGGCGGACGGGUGAGUAAUGUCUGGGGAACUGCCUGAUGGAGGGGGAUAACUACUGGAAACGGUAGCUAAUACCGCAUACCAUCGGAUUGGCCCAAAUGGGAUAAGAUAGUGGGUGGGGUACGGGCUCACCUAGGCGACGAGCCCUAGCGGGUCUGAGAGGAUGACCAGCCACACUGGAACUGAGACACGGUCCAGACUCCUACGGGAGGAAGCAGUGGGGAAUAUUGCACAAGGGGCGCAAGCCUGAUGCAGCCAUGCCGCGUGUGUGAAGAAGGCCUUCGGGUUGUAAAGCACUUUCAGCGGGGAGGCGUUACCCGCAGAAGAAGCACCGGCUAACUCCGUGCCAGCAGCCGCGGUAAUAC